ACUCCUACGGGAGGCAGCAGUGGGAAUCUUGGACAAUGGGGGAAACCCUGAUCCAGCCAUGCCGCGUGAGCGAUGAAGGCCUUAGGGUUGUAAAGCUCUUUCAGGUGGGAAGAUAAUGACGGUACCACCAGAGAAGUACCCCGCUAACNCCUGUGCCAGCAGCCGCGGUAAUAACGGAGGGGGCUAGCGUUGUUCGGAAUUACUGGGCGUAAAGCGCACGUAGGCGGAUUGGAAAGUUGGGGGUGAAAUCCCGGGGCUCAACCCCGGAACGGCCUUCAAAACUCCCAGUCUAGAGGUCGAGAGAGGUGAGUGGAAUUCCGAG
rnacentral:rRNA from 1 species